rnacentral:rRNA from 1 species
UGGGGAAUAUUGCACAAUGGGCGCAAGCCUGAUGCAGCCAUGCCGCGUGUAUGAAGAAGGCCUUCGGGUUGUAAAGUACUUUCAGCGAGGAGGAAGGCGGUAAGGUUAAUAACCUUAUCGAUUGACGCUCCUCGCAGAAGAAGCACCGGCUAACUCCGUGCCAGCAGCCGCGGUAAUACGGAGGGUGCAAGCGUUAAUCGGAAUUACUGGGCGUAAAGCGCACGCAGGCGGUCUGUCAAGUCGGAUGUGAAAUCCCCGGGCUCAACCUGGGAACUGCAUUCGAAACUGGCAGGCUAGAGUCUUGUAGAGGGGGGUAGAAUUCCAGGUGUAGCGGUGAAAUGCGUAGAGAUCUGGAGGAAUACCGGUGGCGAAGGCGGCCCCCUGGACAAAGACUGACGCUCAGGUGCGAAAGCGUGGGGAGCAAACA